rnacentral:rRNA from 1 species
AUUGAACGCUGGCGGCAGGCCUAACCCAUGCAAGUCGAGCGAGCGGCGGACGGGUUAGUAAUGUAUGGGGACUGCCCGAUAGAGGGGGAUAACUACUGGAAACGGUAGCUAAUACCGCAUACUAUCGGAUAACCCAUAUGGGAUUAGCUAGUAGGUGAGGCAAUGGCUCACCUAGGCGACGAUCCCUAGCUGGUCUGAGAGGAUGAUCAGGCAAACUGUGACUAUGACACGGCCCAGAAGCCUACGGAGUCAGCAGUGGGGAUUAUUGCACAAUGGGCGCGAGCGUAAUGCAGCCAUGCCGCAAGUAUGAAGAAGGCCCUAGGGUUAUAAAGUACUUUCAGUCGGGAGGCGUUGCCGAAAGAAGAAGCACCGGCUAACUCCGUGCCAGCGGCCGCGGUGAUUC